GAUGAACGCUGGCGGCGUGCCUAAUACAUGCCAGUCGAGCGAACAGACGAGGAGCUUGCUCCUCUGACGUUAGCGGCGGACGGGUGAGUAACACGUGGAUAACCUACCUAUAAGACUGGGAUAACUUCGGGAAACCGGAGCUAAUACCGGAUAAUAUAUUGAACCGCAUGGUUCAAUAGUGAAAGACGGUUUUGCUGUCACUUAUUGAUGGAUCCGCGCCGCAUUAGCUAGUUGGUAAGGUAACGGCUUACCAAGGCAACGAUGCGUAGCCGACCUGAGAGGGUGAUCGGCCACACUGGAACUGAGACACGGUCCAGACUCCUACGGGAGGCAGCAGUAGGGAAUCUUCCGCAAUGGGCGAAAGCCUGACGGAGCAACGCCGCGUGAGUGAUGAAGGUCUUCGGAUCGUAAAACUCUGUUAUUAGGGAAGAACAAAUGUGUAAGUAACUAUGCACGUCUUGACGGUACCUAAUCAGAAAGCCACGGCUAACUACGUG
rnacentral:rRNA from 1 species